rnacentral:lncRNA from 1 species
ACUUUGACACUACAAACUUAGUCAUCUAAAAUCUAAAUUGGUAUUCAGAUGCAUCUAGGAAAGCAAGACAGUAUAUCAACUUCAUUUCACAAACAUGUUGAUUUUCCCUUGAUACAGUAGACCAAGUGAAUACAGGUAUAGUCAAAUAGUUUAUUACAAAACUUAAUCAAUUUUUUUUUUACCAUCCAGAUUACUAGCAGGUUUAUCUGAUAAUAUAUUGUACUAUAUGUAUAUUAACAAUUAGAUUGUAAGUUUCUGUGGUGAUCUAAACUAAAUAUACCUAAAAAAAAAAAAUCAUAAAUGUUUGAGACCGAAAGCUUCUGGAUUAGUUUUUUGAUGAUGAAUUUCUCCAAAAAUUCUUUUUGAUAAACUUUUCUCAGAUUUGACUACUAUUAUGAUUUGGACAUUAAAGUAUACAGCGGUAUUCAUCUUUGAUAGACCUAGUGCUACAGUUUAAUAGGUAAACAAAGAAUAUGCACACAGGAAUAUCCAUCCAGAACACAAAAUCAGUACAUAGACAGCAUAAAUAAACGAACAAAAGAAAGGAACAGUGCUUUUAUUGCUGUUCUUCAUCUCAUACAUAAUAAUUUUCACUCAAAAGUUUGAAUAAGUUUUUAAAAAAAAAUUAAAUGUAUGAAAAUAUACUUUUUGUUGCUAUUAUUGAUAUACAAGUCAUUUAUACAGACAUACAUUUUAUCAAUGAAAUUUAUCAUUAUAAGUUAUAAAUAAGGUAAUAUAAGUUAAGUACACUUUUUUAGCUCACCUGGCCUAAAAAUGUGUCCGGUGACCGAGGCCACCAACCAAGAUUUAUAAAGAAUGAUAAAUAAUAUAGAGUUUUAAGUUCCAUUCUUUCAUAUUUAUUAAAAAGAAAUGAUGUUUUAGAGGAGCCAACAACUGAGCAGAGAGCAGAAGAGAGAUUGAUGACCUUGAAGAGUAAGCAAUGUGAACAGUAAGACAGCUGUUAAGUAUAUCUGGGGUUACCAAAUAUUAUGGUAAGAACCUCAUCUAUAAUCAAACUUGGUGAGUAUUCUUUUUGUUGGUUAGAUAUUAUGCAUCAUUAUGAAAAAAGGGGGAUGUAGGGUAUAAAUCAACAAGGCAGCUACCCAAUGAAAAUAAAUAACCAAAGACAUCUACAGGUCUUCAACUAUAGACUGAUGUUUAUACAAUACAUGAACUUGUAAAUCAUCCAAAGUCUAAAAGAUUUGUGAAUAAAAUGAACAGACUAACAAAUAACUUACAUACACACCAAUAUCUGACCUAAGCACAUGAGCAUGUUGCAGGGUGAAACUUUUUUAUAUAAAGCCCACCCUUUUUGUGCAAUGCCUAACCAAACUACAAAAUUUCAUACAGAAAACUUUUCAAAUUGAAGGGUUUCAAAUUUUGAAUAAGCUAAUUUGUUCUUUUAAAAAAAAAAUGCCAGAUGCAAUUAACAAACAACAAAAUAUUUGGAAAUCUUGACUCCCCCGCAAGAGAAAAAUGUCACUCUUAUUAUUGAGGAAAAUGGCCACUACCUCAAUGGUCUUUAAAAUUAAUUCAGUUGCUCUGGUCAUUUUUCAAAAUUUAACAAGUGAAUGGAGUUGUUUUGAUGAAGCUUACCUUUAAUCAAUGGGAGAUAACUGUGACCACAUGGAUCAUAAUUCUGAAAACUUAUCCUGAAAUCCUGGGCUUAAAAACUCGAAAUCCUGAGGUCCCGAAUUUAAAUAAAUUUAAAUCUCGACAUCCCGAAUUUUGAAAAAAAGAAUUCCCGGAUCUUGAAAGGGUCAAUCCCGAAAUCCUGAGCUUAAAAACACCCAAUCCCGGAGUCCCGAUAAAGGUCCUAUCUACCCUCAUAUCUAUAAUUGAUAACUAAGAUAAAAGAAAUACAGAAAUUGUUUACAUUAAAUUGCCUUUUGCCAUGCUUUCAUCAACAAAAGAUUUUUUUUUUCAUUUUCCAAAAUAAAUUCCAAGGCUAAGAUGUAGGAUGCCAUUCUUCUAACAAAAUACCACAGCAUGGAGACCCAAAUCAGCACACUAAAAUGUCCAAUGUGUGUCCUACAUCUUGAAAUAAAUAUCAUUUUAUAAAUGUUCAAAUAUCUUCAAAAACAUUUUUUUUUUUUACUCAUUUCUACUCUGUUGAGACUAUUUCACUAGCACUGCACUUUGACUUUGACUAAGACAAACAAAAUGUUUAUUGAAGUUGAAUGGCCUUAGUGAUGACUUGGUUGAGGACAUGGAAAGCAUUUUGUCAUUGUUGGUUGUUUUAUGGGCUUUGACCUCUUGAGUCAUAAAGACCUUAUGUAUGUUAGUUCCAUUGAAAUGUUCAAUGCAUUGUCAAUGCUAAACAUUUGAUUGACUUUGACUGAUUUUUUUUUAGUUUCUGAAGAGUAUAAAUGAGUUUGAACAAAAUGCAGCA